AGUGAACGCUGGCGGUAGGCCUAACACAUGCAAGUCGAACGGCAGCACAGUAAGAGCUUGCUCUUACGGGUGGCGAGUGGCGGACGGGUGAGGAAUACAUCGGAAUCUACUUUUUCGUGGGGGAUAACGUAGGGAAACUUACGCUAAUACCGCAUACGACCUACGGGUGAAAGCAGGGGAUCUUCGGACCUUGCGCGAUUGAAUGAGCCGAUGUCGGAUUAGCUAGUUGGCGGGGUAAAGGCCCACCAAGGCGACGAUCCGUAGCUGGGCUGAGAGGAUGAUCAGCCACACUGGAACUGAGACACGGUCCAGACUCCUACGGGAGGCUGCAGUGGGGAAUCUUGGACAAUGGGCGCAAGCCUGAUCCAGCCAUACCGCGUGGGUGAAGAAGGCCUUCGGGUUGUAAAGCCCUUUUGUUGGGAAAGAAAAGCAGCAGGUUAAUACCCCGCUGUUCUGACGGUACCCAAAGAAUAAGCACCGGCUAACUUCGUG
rnacentral:rRNA from 1 species